UUGAACUUGAGUUUGUGUGUUUGUUGAACUUGAGCUUGUGGCAAUUGUUAAACUUGAGAUUUGGCUGUUGGUUGUGUUUUUUGAACUUGAGGUUGUGAAAAUUUUUAAACUUGAAAAUCAGUUGUUUGUUGAACUCGAGUUUGUGGUUUUUGUUAACUUGAGUUUUGUCAUGUUUUAACUUGAGUUUGGAGUUUUUGUACUUGAUUUUAUGGUGUUUUUGAACUUCAGUUUUUGUCAUGUUUGAACUUCAGUGUGUGU